rnacentral:rRNA from 1 species
CCUACGGGAGACAGCAGUGGGGAAUAUUGCACAAUGGGGGAACCCCUGAUGCAGCAACGCCGCGUGAAGGAAUACGGUUUUCGGAUUGUAAACUUCUGUUCUUAGUGAAGAAGAAUGACGGUAGCUAAGGAGCAAGCCACGGCUAACUACGUGCCAGCAGCCGCGGUAAUACGUAGGUGGCAAGCGUUGUCCGGAAUUACUGGGUGUAAAGGGAGCGCAGGCGGGAAGCCAAGUCAGCUGUGAAAACUACGGGCUUAACUUGUAGACUGCAGUUGAAACUGGUUUUCUUGAGUGAAGUAGAGGUUGGAGGAAUGUCGAGUGUAGCGGUGAAAUGCGUAGAUAUUCGGAGGAACACCGGUGGCGAAGGCGGCCAACUGGGCUUUAACUGACGCUGAAGCACGAAAGCGUGGGUAUCGAACAGGAUUAAAUACCCGGGUAGUC